UACGAAGGGGGGCUAGCGUUGUUCGGAAUUACUGGGCGUAAAGCGCACGUAGGCGGAUUUGUAAGUCAGGGGUGAAAUCCCGGGGCUCAACCUCGGAACUGCCUUUGAUACUGCAAGUCUCGAGUCCGAUAGAGGUGAGUGGAAUUCCUAGUGUAGAGGUGAAAUUCGUAGAUAUUAGGAAGAACACCAGUGGCGAAGGCGGCUCACUGGAUCGGUACUGACGCUGAGGUGCGAAAGCGUGGGGGAGCGAACAGG
rnacentral:rRNA from 1 species